GGAUAUCUUCAAAUACGCCCGAUCCGAUCUCGACAAUCCGGUCAUACGUGUCGGAAAGAAAUCAAGUUGAAAUCAAUCAUCGCUCUCUCACCAAAGAGGACUUAUGAGCGUCUUUCGAUGAAAGACUCGGACCAUUCCCAAAAUAGUCAAAGCAACAUGAUUUGUCCGGGUGAGGAACACCCUGAGGCUCCCGAAACCAGUCUGAUUAUCACUGAUGGAAUUCGCAGCUAUUCCACUCUAGCCAAAUAUCCUCUCAGAAGAUCUACCUACUGCUUCCUUCCCAACGCAGUAGCAUACCAAAAGCAAGCUAUUCGCUCUUUUAAGCUUUAUUUUUGGAAUCAGGUACGGCAUGACGCUCUUGCAAGAGAUGAAUGCGGGAUCAGGAAGCGAGUUCCAUGAGAUGGUGGAGAGGUUGGAUGUUAGCAAAAUGCAGCUAUCUCAAACCAUUGAUAGAGAAGAAGACAUGCGAAAGGAGUGUAGUUUGUGAGUGCUCAUACUUUGUAUGUGCUUUUCAGCAGUACAUUUGACGUGGAUGUAUCACAUGCGCAGAGCAUUCAUAAUGAACGUGUUGGCAUGGUACCUGCAAAAUCUCUGA